GACGAACGCUGGCGGCGUGCCUAAUACAUGCAAGUAGAACGCUGAAGAGAGGAGCUUGCUCUUCUUGGAUGAGUUGCGAACGGGUGAGUAACGCGUAGGUAACCUGCCUGGUAGCGGGGGAUAACUAUUGGAAACGAUAGCUAAUACCGCAUAAAAUUGAUUAUUGCAUGAUAAUUAAUUGAAAGAUGCAACUGCAUCACUACCAGAUGGACCUGCGUUGUAUUAGCUAGUUGGUGAGGUAACGGCUCACCAAGGCGACGAUACAUAGCCGACCUGAGAGGGUGAUCGGCCACACCGGGACUGAGACACGGCCCAGACUCCUACGGGAGGCAGCAGUAGGGAAUCUUCGGCAAUGGGGGGAACCCUGACCGAGCAACGCCGCGUGAGUGAAGAAGGUUUUCGGAUCGUAAAGAUCUGUUGUAAGAGAAGAACGGGUGUGAGAGUGGAAAGUUCACACUGUGACGGUAUCUUACCAGAAAGGGACGGCUAACUACGUG
rnacentral:rRNA from 1 species